AGAGUUCGAUUAUGGCUCAGGAUGAACGCUGGCGGCGUGCUUAACACAUGCAAGUCGAGCGAAGCGAUUUAAGUGAAGUUUUCGGAUGGAUCUUAAAUUGACUGAGCGGCGGACGGGUGAGUAACGCGUGGGUAACCUGCCUUGUACAGGGGGAUAACAGUCAGAAAUGACUGCUAAUACCGCAUAAGCGCACAGAGCUGCAUGGCUCAGUGUGAAAAACUCCGGUGGUAUAAGAUGGACCCGCGUUGGAUUAGCUAGUUGGUGGGGUAACGGCCCACCAAGGCGACGAUCCAUAGCCGGCCUGAGAGGGUGAACGGCCACAUUGGGACUGAGACACGGCCCAG
rnacentral:rRNA from 1 species